GGAGCUUACAAAGGAAUGAGCAAGAGGAAAGAAGAUUCUGGUCUCACUUAAAAUGGACUGCGGUACCUCCUCUGCUUGAAAUUCAAAGAAGCCAAGGUUGGAACUAUAAAAGGAUGAACAAAUUACAGCAUUCAAAAUAUAUUUUAAAAUAAGAGUGGAACAAAGCUGCAGCUUUUGGGUGCUGAUCAAAUAGAAGCUAAGGCAUUCAUAGACAAGUGUUAUUUGUUUUUUCAAACAAACGAGAUUAAAAGAGAAAACCAAAUAAUGGAGAGAACCCAGCACAGAGCCAGGUAUGUCAUUAGCUCUCAAUAAAUAUGUUUUCAUUCUUCUUUAUGUCAUGCACUCUGUCACACCAGCCAAUCUAAUGGCUCAUGUCUAGCCAACUAUCUAAAUGUUGUGUUACUUAUCACCAUUGCCAGAAGGAGCAUAGUAGGCCCUAAGCUCUGUGAGUAGGGACUGUGCGUGCAAUACUGGAAAAAUGACAGUUUGAAGUCAAACUGUGGGAAGUUUGUUUUCAUUUGAUGCUUUAAAUAAAAAUAAUAUGUUUAUAUUGCUAUAUCUUGAUAUUUUCAUAUUACAGGGUUUUGUUUGUAUGUUUGUUUUGUUUUUUUUUUUGUUUAGACAGAAUCUCGCUCUGUCACCCAGACUGGAGUGCAGUGAUGCGAUCUCGGUUCACGGCAACCUCCACCUCCUGGUUCUUCUCACGCCUCAGCCCCCCAAGUAGCUGAGAUUACAGGCAUGUGUCACCACGCCUGUAAUUUUUGCAAGUUUUUACUGGAGACAGGGUUUCACCAUAUUGGCCAGGCUGGUUUUGAACUCCCGACUUCAGGUGAUCUGCCUGCCUCAGCCUCCCAAAGUAUUGGGAUUACAGGUGUGAGCCACCGCACCUGGCCAGUUUUAAACAUUCUCUAUUGACUUUCCCUAACAAAGAAAAAGGUCUAGCUUUCUCUCACACUACCUCCAUCUCUACCCACUCAUGAAGGCUUCUCAUCUUUUUAUACUGUUGUAUUAUACUGUUGGUUAUAUCAUUCUCAGUGUUCCUAUGUCUGUAAAUUCCUUUCACAACCGAGAUAUGGAGUACCCUAUGCUAACUUUUAUUUCCUUAUAAAUUUUUUACUUUUCCUAUGAUUAAUAAUAGCCUUCUUUGUUGUUAGUUGAUUGAAAAAAAAAACUAAUCCAAUCUUCACUCACUCCACUCAUCAUCUAAAUCUUCUCUCAAGAUAUUUAGAUGUAUCAAGUACUUAACGAUUUCUCCUUUUUAUAAAAAUAUAGAAAUGGAAGAACAUUCUGACCUGCUUGUAGGUGGAGUUACUGUACUCUACUCUUGCAUAGCUAACAGCCUGCAGGCUCUUUUCACCUCUCUUCUGAGCUGAAUCCUCAGUUUCUUGUAUCUCACACCUUUCUCUUUCUUGGCUUACUCUCUCACUUUGGUGGAGCAUAUAUUCCAGUUGGUUUCUAAGAAACUUUUUUUAAGGUAAAUUUUUGAGAGCUUACAUCUGAAAAUGACUGCAUUUUACCUUUAUAUUUGAUUGACAGUUUGACUGACUAUUGAGUUCUGAGCUAGAAAUCAUUUUUCUUAUUCUGUUGAAGGCAUAGCUCCCAUGACUUGUAAUUAUCAGUGUUGCUUUUGACAAUUCUAAAUCAACUCUGAUCUCUGAUUUUUGUAUAUACUAAUUUUCCCUCCUCUCGAAGUCUGUAGGAUCCUCUUUGGGGCCUUUUCUUUAUCCCAGAAUUGAGAAAUAUUGUGAUGAUAUGCCUUGAGAUGGGUGUAUUUUCCUUUGUUUUGUUUUGUUUUGUUUGUUUGUUUUUUGCUGGAUACCAAAUGGACUUUUAAAACCUAGUAACACAUUUAUUUCCUUCCUUUUUUCCUUAUUCUUACAAUAAAUAUGUAUUGAGUUUCUACUAUAAGGCCAGGUAUUAGCCUAGGUACUGAAAAUGCAUAGGAAAAUAAAAUCACAACUCUCUUGGAGCUGACAUGCUAUUAGCACUUUCAGUUCUGAGAUAUUAUAGUGAAUUAUCCUAUUUAUAACUUCGUGCCUUAGGCUGUUUGGACUGCUAUAACAAAAUACCUUUAAUUAGGUGGCUUAUAAGCAACAGAACUUUAUUUCUCACAGUUCUGGAGGUUGGAAAGUCCAAGAUCAAGGAGCCAGCAGCUUCGAUGUCUGAUGAGAGCCAACUUUCUGGUUUAUAGAUGACACCAUUUUGCUGAGUCCUCAUGUGGUGAAAGGUGCUAGGAGUCGCUCUUGGACAUCUUUUAGAAGGGCUAAUUUCCUUCAUGAGGGCUCUGCUCUCAUGACCUAAUCACCUCCAAAAGGCCCCACCUCCUAAUACCAUCACCUUGGGAAUUCAAAUUUCAACAUAUGAAUUUUAGAGGACACAGACAUUCAGACCGUAGCACUUCCUCCCCUCCGUUGUCUCUGUUAAGAUGAGAUGGUCUCUAAGAUCAUGUCAGAUUUUAGAACAGGAAGGGAUCACAAGAAUACGUCAAUGACAAGCCUCCAGGGGCCGAAGACAUACUAAAGAUCAUGAAUAUCAAGUCACCAAUAAGGCCAGUUGAUAUGUAAAGCUUUUAAGUGACUUUUCCAUUGUCACCCUGCAGGUUAGUCUUAAUGUCCUCUAUUAACUUUUUCUAUUUUAUCCUUCAUAGGCUGGAAAUUAUUAAAUUUGAAAGAAUAAUUGAUAUUUUUGCCUUGUGUUUUGUUCUUUUGAAAAGAAUUUAAUGAAGUCUGUUCCUAUCUUAAGCUCAUUUCCCCAGGAGAGUCAAAUCUUAUAAUAAAACCUACUUUCGUUUUUAAACAAAAAAAACCAAAAACCCCAAAAAUAAAUCCCUAUAUCUCUGAUUGCUAGGCUUUUUAUUCCAGAAGAUUGCCUCUAAAGAAUAUCAAGACUUUUUUAAUGAGUUAUUUCUUAUUAAUCGAAAAAUAAUUAAGACUUUGUUGCAAAAAUUAUUACUCUUAGUCUAUUGGUGUCCUAGCAUAGAGCUGUUUCUGUUGUAAUUCACCCAGCCCAAGAGACUUCAUAGCACUUAUUCAUGAAAUGAGAAUCCCAUUUGUUAACUGCAUGUUCAUCGUUAGAUUAAACUUAAUGGCUUAUCUUACGUACCUUUUGUAUUUUUCAGAAUUCCCAGCGCAUGCUGUACAUCUAAUAAGUAAUGCUUAAACUUUUAUAUAAGUGAAUUACUUUCUUCUUACAGCUUUCUUAGAUAUGUAUUCAUUGAAAAGUUGUGGGCUUACUUCCUAUACUCAAAUAUAUAUAUAGUCAUAUACUUGAGUUAAGGAACCCAACUCAUAUACAAAAUUUCUCAUAGGGAAGAAAGGAGUAAAUGAAUUUAUAUCAAUUGUUUUCUAAUGUAGCCUUUAAAAACCCAAUUUUAAUUUUCUCAUGUAUGAAUUGUGAGGUCCUAGCCUCAUUAUUUUUUAUUGGAAUCUUAGUGACUUUUAGUGAUUUAUAUGAAUUGCACAUACUGGUGAUUUUUACUUUUUGUCUAAAAUAUUUGUCACUUUUUUUAUUUUCUGUAUUUUUGUAUUUUGUUAUUUGCUUCUUAAUUAAUUUGACCCAGGCAAG